UAUUUUUAAAUAAAAAUAAAAUAUGGUAAAAAAUAAAAAAAUGCUAGAAUUGCUAUCUUAGAUUUUUGCUAAGCUAGUCUGCUGAAAGCCUUGUGUAUUUAUCUCCAAGUGAUGUAUUCCUAAGUGGAAUAUCAAAUCUAACAUGUUCCUACGCAUUGUACUGUUCAGGAGAUCCAUUUAAGUAGUUCAAUAGUUAAGUCCAUUUUUGGAGUUCAUUGCUAUUAAAUAUUCAUACCCCAGCAAUGCGUUCUUUAUGGUUUUUAUAGCUCUUUGCAGCUUUAAAUUAGAAUGUGGUGAUACCAUGUUAAGCUGAAAAAUACAUCAUGUUUACGGAAUUAAUUUAUAAAUAUUUAAAAACAGAAAACUACAGUUUUCAUUGGAUGUUGAUUUGAGUUAAACAAUAGAGACUCUAUUGAGACUGAGAAUAUGAAGUUGUGGGGGAAAAAAGAAAAGGACAGAGCAUGCAAGAAAACUGCCAGUGCUCGUACAGUUUGUUCCAGUCUCAGCUUUCCAAUGUGUAUGGUCCUAGGUUUUGUGAACACAACCUUGACAGAGGCAGUCUAAGGGAGAGUUGGAGACUUGCUGGGAUUACUGUAUUUCUGAUAGCAAUAAAGAGGACUGCCACUGGCCUACCAGGUAGAUGUGUGUGCAUUUGCUUACCCCAGACUUGCAUGCUACUUGGGAGUUCCCCUUCCCCUACUCCAGUGAUAUACCUAAACUUUCUUGUCAAGCAUCAUCUCAUUCUCCCAGAGCAUUUCUGGAGCUCUGCUAACCCCAGGCUCUUCCUAUGGCUCUCUUACGAGCCUUAUUUUUUGAGAUUUGUUGCAAAGGAAAAAAGCAAUAAAGUCUAUAAAAAACAAUACAUUAAAAUAGUGUCAACUAUGAAACUGAUUACAUGUUGGCUUUAUGAAAAACUGUAUUUUUUUCAGUGACAUACCAUUCUUCACUUCUAGGCAGCACAGUCUAGAUGGAAAAAUCAUUGACUCUUUAAAUCACCUGGCAAGUUCUUAGUAAUUAAGAAAGGCCCUCCAUCCUGAGUGACAGUGCUGCCUUAGAAACAGCCCAUCUCUGCAUGCUGUGGGCCCAUCUCUGAGCAAGGACACAGGAAAUUCCCUCACGAAUAGUGUCUCCUUCUGUAAGACAGGUAGGCAUCCUUAUCCAAAGGGAAACACUUAGAUCCUCUUUGUUUUUUUUUUUUUCUUAUCCUUUAAAAGGCAUAAAAAUGGCCCAUGCUAGGUAUAAGGAGUUAUUUUAGAAUUGUGUAUUCAUUUAUUUCUAUCUACCUCAUAAGCGUCCCUUUCAUCUCUUAAAGAAUACUAUAUAAUAAUGAAUAGUUCUGACGUGAGUUUUUGCAGAUUUUCAUGUUAAACUGCCAAUGCUGGCAAUAAUUUAUACACUGGGAUGUUAUUCCCAACAUGCCUACCUAAUUCCUUUGAAAAGUCAGUUUCAUUCUCAGUGCUAACAGAAAUGUCGAUGAGACUAGCAGGAGUUUAAUACCUCUGCAAAUCAAAUCAGUUAGAACCUGUGGACCAAGGGACAUAAUUUCAGGCACCUGUGUUUGGGGGGAAAAAAACAA